rnacentral:sRNA from 1 species
GCGGGGGGGGGCGGAGGCGGCAGGGAUGCGAUGGCGGAGUCGCUGCCCCUGGAGAUGCUCACAUAUAUUCUGAGCUUCCUGCCUCUGUCAGAUCAGAAAGAGGCCUCCCUCGUGAGCUGGGCUUGGUACCGUGCCGCCCAGAAUGCCCUUCGGGAGAGCCUGGGCCUCAAGGGCAUCUGCUGCAUCCGCCUGACCAACCUGGAUGGCUCUCCAGCUUCACACCAGAUGCUACAAUCUGUUGCUUACCACCUGGGCCCACACCUGCAGAGCUUGUCCCUGGGUGGAGGCAGUCCCACAGAGGCCUCCUUUGUGGCCCUGAUCCUGGGCUGCCCAGCCCUGUGUGUCCUUGACCUCAGUGGCUGCAAUAGCCUCUUCACCUCGGGCACACUGCUGGCUCAGCCCGAGAUGGCACAGAGCGUCCGGCAGGCUUUGAGCGGCCUCCGUGAGCUCAACCUGGCUGGCCUGCGAGACCUGGCUGACCUCAGCUUCAACCGGCUCAGCAGCUGUGCCCCCAGCCUGGAGCGCCUCUCCUUGGCAUACUGCCACCUCACCUUCGAGCUAGGCCCAGCCCGAGGGUCCAUCGGCCCCCAAGACUCCUCUCCCUCCCAGUUCUCCUUCUGCAACCUGCUGCGAUUCGUGCAAGAGCGGGCUGGCAGGCUGCGUGCCCUGGACCUGAGUGGCACUGGCUUGCCACCCGAGGCCCUGCGGGCCCUGGGCCAGGUAGCUGGGCUGCAGCUUCAGGAGCUGAGCCUGCACAGCUGCCGGGACCUCUCCACAGA